rnacentral:misc_RNA from 1 species
UGAAAUGCGAAACGUAAUGCGAUUUGCAGCAUCUGUGAGUCAUCGAGUCUUUGAACGCACUUGGCACCUGGAGAUGAUCCAGGUAUACCUGUUUGAGCAGAAUAUUUAUUUAUAAAUGAGUUUCAUUUUCGUGAUGUGACUUGAAAAGGGUUUGGAUGUGACGUGCAAGCACUCGUGUUCUGUGUGAUCGCAAGGCCGUGGUCUUGAUUCACAGGAAGCGCAGUGUGGCUGUGCGGUCAAUCAUGUCUAUUACAAAAACUACUUGUACAUUCUCUCUCAAAUCAGGCAAGAUUACCCGCUGAACUUAA